GCAGGGAUGGCCUAGUGGUUAUGGCGACUGUCUUACAAAUCUCUCCGAGAUUUCGCGCACAGUAGGUCGCGGGUUCAAACCCCGCUCCUUGUA
rfam:Aureococcus anophagefferens unplaced genomic scaffold ATRANscaffold_3, whole genome shotgun sequence.